rnacentral:lncRNA from 1 species
GGCUAGAUUGUGUUCUAACCAAAUUAGUUUAAAUUGCACCUGGACUCACUGCUAGCUAGAUGUGGAACUCAAUGGGUCACACACAAAGAGAAUUGAUCAUGGGUUUAAUUUGAUUAAACCAUGUUUGCAAGUUGAACAUGCUAGCACAUGUUGCAAACCCUAGCAUUUAGAUUCGAAUCGAAUUCGAAUCGGGUUCCGAUUUGGGCUAAUUUAGAACCAAUUUAAGCCAAAUUGGAUUUGGUCUUGAAAUGGGUUCGAAGUGUUUUAAUUGGGCUUCC